rnacentral:piRNA from 1 species
UAAAACACUGAGCAUUUUGAUUUUUGAUAU